rnacentral:rRNA from 1 species
CCUACGGGAGGCAGCAGUGAGGAAUAUUGGUCAAUGGGCGCGAGCCUGAACCAGCCACGUAGCGUGAAGGAUGACUUCCCUACGGGUUGUAAACUUCUUUUAUAAAGGAAUAAAGUGUGGCACGUCCUCCUUUUUGUAUGUACUUUAUGAAUGAGCAUCGGCUAACUCCGUUCCAGCAGCCGCGGUAAUACGGAGGAUCCGAGCGUUAUCCGGAUUUAUUGGGUUUAAAGGGAGCGUAGAUGGGUUGUUAAGUCAGUUGUGAAAGUUUGCGGCUCAACCGUAAAAUUGCAAUUGAUACUGGCAGCCUUGAGUACAGGUGAGGUAGGCGGAAUUCGGGGUGUAGCGGUGAAAUGCUUAGAUAUCACGAAGAACACCGAUUGCGAAGGCAGCCUACUAAACUGCCACUGACAUUGAUGCUCGAAAGUGUGGGUAUCAAACAGGAGUAGAUACCCGAGUAGUC